GCGACGGGUGAGUACACGUGGGCAAUCUGCCCUUCACUCUGGGACAAGCCCUGGAAACGGGGUCUAAUACCGGAUAAUACUUUCUCUCUCCUGGGGGAAGGUUGAAAGCUCCGGCGGUGAAGGAUGAGCCCGCGGCCUAUCAGCUAGUUGGUGGGGUAAUGGCCUACCAAGGCGACGACGGGUAGCCGGCCUGAGAGGGCGACCGGCCACACUGGGACUGAGACACGGCCCAGACUCCUACGGGAGGCAGCAGUGGGGAAUAUUGCACAAUGGGCGAAAGCCUGAUGCAGCGACGCCGCGUGAGGGAUGACGGCCUUCGGGUUGUAAACCUCUUUCAGCAGGGAAGAAGCGAAAGUGACGGUACCUGCAGAAGAAGCGCCGGCUAACUACGUGCCAGCAGCCGCGGGGUAAUACG
rnacentral:rRNA from 1 species